UACGAAGGGGACUAGCGUUGUUCGGAAUCACUGGGCGUAAAGCGCACGUAGGCGGAUUUGUAAGUCAGGGGUGAAAUCCCGGGGCUCAACCUCGGAACUGCCUUUGAUACUGCGAAUCUUGAGUCCGAUAGAGGUGGGUGGAAUUCCUAGUGUAGAGGUGAAAUUCGUAGAUAUUAGGAAGAACACCAGUGGCGAAGGCGGCUCACUGGCCCGGUACUGACGCUGAGGCGCGAAAGCGUGGGGAGCAACAGG
rnacentral:rRNA from 1 species